AGCCUCAUGACAGCCUCCUGUGGCCACAGGAACUCUGAAGGCCAAGGACUUCAAGAAGCGAUGCUUGCAGGCCACCAUCACUCAGGACAACACCUAUGGGGCCGAGGACUGCCUGUACCUCAACAUCUGGGUCCCCCAGGGCAGGAAGCAAGUGUCCCGGGACCUGCCUGUUAUGAUCUGGAUCUAUGGGGGCGCCUUCCUCAUGGGGGCCGGCCAUGGGGCCAACUUCGGCAACAACUACCUGUACGACGGGGAAGAGAUCGCCACGCGCGGCAACGUCAUCGUGGUCACCUUCAACUACCGCGUCGGCCCCCUGGGCUUCCUCAGCACCGGGGACUCCAACCUGCCAGGU